AUCACUUCUCUGCCUUUUGGCUAAGAUCAAGUGUAGUAUCUGUUCUUAUCAGGUAGUCCACUAGUAGGAAUAAAUGGCUACAUUGAGGAGCAGGUGUACUGGGGCGUUCCGGGGCUGGUGCCACAGGACCAGCUCAACGGCUGCCCUGAUGUGACCUUUUUCCUCCGGGUCUCGCCAUGGGGCU